rnacentral:rRNA from 1 species
UACGAAGGGGGCUAGCGUUGCUCGGAAUUACUGGGCGUAAAGCGUGCGCAGGCGGUGAUGUAAGACAGGUGUGAAAUCCCCGGGCUUAACCUGGGAACUGCAUUUGUGACUGCAUCGCUGGAGUGUGGCAGAGGGGGGUGGAAUUCCACGUGUAGCAGUGAAAUGCGUAGAGAUGUGGAGGAACACCGAUGGCGAAGGCAGCCCCCUGGGCUAACACUGACGCUCAUGCACGAAAGCGUGGGGAGCAAACAGG